GAGCUGUGAUGACUCUUGUGUCUGUUGUGAUGGCUGGGUCUAUCACUUAGCCCCUUUGGGUGAAAAUUGGCACAUCUGAGCUC
rfam:Lupinus angustifolius cultivar Tanjil chromosome LG02, whole genome shotgun sequence.